AAACCAAAUGGGAUUCUCUCAGUAAUGGCGAAUGAAGACAGAGUAGUCCACAGUGAUAAUUAGGCCAUCUGGUCUGAGUUGUAUUCUGAAGGGAAGGUGCUCGUACUGACAUCGGCGAAAGUCUCGUGGAAACGAGCCCCAGUGAAGGUGAGAGGCCUGCACAUCGCUGCUUGUUUUGUACGAACAGUACCUCUUCCUGGAGUCACACUCUUCGGGAUUGGAGUGCUGGAUAGGUGGUAAAUCUCAUCUACGACUACAUAAAGGUCUGGAACCGAUAGCAGAGAAGUACCAUGAGGGAAAUGUGAAAAGGACUUUGAGAAGAGAGUUAAACAGUAUGUGAAACUGCUGAAAGGGAAGUGUAUGUAGAGCAUGCAAUUUGUGGUAAGAUUGUGCUGUCUUGGAUUCGACUUGAGGCUCUUUUGUUUUAAGUGGUGUCUUUCGACGGCAUGUUUCUUUCCCAAUGAGCUAGCCAUUAUGUCCUUCAACGAAAACCAAGUGUCUUUCUUCAUUUCUCUGCGGGGGUUUGAAGGGUCGCUCUGGGAUGUUGGAGGUAAAUGUGGUUGGUAAUGAUCUGCAUACGAC
rnacentral:rRNA from 1 species